rnacentral:rRNA from 1 species
GUGGGGAAUAUUGCACAAUGGGCGAAAGCCUGAUGCAGCAACGCCGCGUGAGGGACGACGGCCUUCGGGUUGUAAACCUCUUUUAGUAGGGAAGAAGCGAAAGUGACGGUACCUGCAGAAAAAGCACCGGCUAACUACGUGCCAGCAGCCGCGGUAAUACGUAGGGUGCAAGCGUUAUCCGGAAUUAUUGGGCGUAAAGAGCUCGUAGGCGGUCUGUCGCGUCUGCUGUGAAAACUGGAGGCUCAACCUCCAGCCUGCAGUGGGUACGGGCAGACUAGAGUGCGGUAGGGGAGAUUGGAAUUCCUGGUGUAGCGGUGAAAUGCGUAGAUAUAGGAAGGAACACCGAUGGCGAAGGCAGAUCUCUGGGCCGUAACUGACGCUGAGGAGCGAAAGCGUGGGGAGCGAACAGGAUUAGAAACCCGAGUAGUCC